rnacentral:rRNA from 1 species
GACGAACGCUGGCGGCGUGCUUAACACAUGCAAGUCGAACGGAAAGGCCCUGCUUUUGUGCGGUGCUCGAGUGGCGAACGGGGGAGUAACACGUGUGUAACCUGCCCUUGACUUUGGGAUAACUUCAGGAAACUGGGGCUAAUACCGGAUAGGAGCUCCUGCUGCAUGGUGGGGGUGGGAAAGUUUCGGCGGUUGGGGAUGGACUCGCGGCUUAUCAGCUUGUUGGUGGGGUAGUGGCUUACCAAGGCUUUGACGGGUAGCCGGCCUGAGAGGGUGACCGGCCACAAUGGGACUGCGGUACGGCCCAGACUCCUACGGGAGGCAGCAGUGGGGAAUAUUGCACAAUGGGCGGAAGCCUGAUGAAGCAACGUCGCGUGCGGGAAGACGGCCUGUGGGUUGUAAACCGCUUUAGCCUGUGACGAAGCGUGAGUGACGGUAAUGGGUAAAGAAGCACCGGCUAACUACGUG